rnacentral:ncRNA from 1 species
UAUAGAGCGGGAAGCGCAGAUCCGUCGACAGGUAUUCGGUCACCCAGGUGGUCGACGGGGAGCCAGUGGUGAGACCGGCCCGUCCUAGA